UACGUACUGUGCGAACGUUAUUCGGAAUCACUGGGCUUAAAGGGUGCGUAGGCGGCUUAAUAAGUCAGGUGUGAAAUCCCACGGCUCAACCGUGGAACUGCGCUUGAAACUGUUAAGCUUGAGUAUCUCAGGGGUGAGCGGAACUUCCAGUGGAGCGGUGAAAUGUGUUGAUAUUGGAAGGAACACCGGUAGCGAAAGCGGCUCACUGGGGGAUUACUGACGCUGAGGCACGAAAGCUAGGGGAGCGAACAGG
rnacentral:rRNA from 1 species